CUAGCGACUUCAGAGUUUGAUCCUGGCUCAGGAUGAACGCUAGCGGCAGGCUUAACACAUGCAAGUCGAGGGGCAGCAUGAGACGGAGAUUCGUCAAAGUCUUGAUGGCGACCGGCGCAAGGGUGCGUAACGCGUGAGCAACUUGCCCGUUUCUGGGGAAUAACCGGUGGAAACGCCGACUAAUACCCCAUAGUAUUGGUUUUAGGCAUCUUUAACCAAUUAAAGAAUUUCGGAAACGGAUAGGCUCGCGUGACAUUAGCUAGAUGGCGGGGUAACGGCCCACCAUGGCGACGAUGUCUAGGGGUUCUGAGAGGAAGGUCCCCCACACUGGAACUGAGACACGGUCCAG
rnacentral:rRNA from 1 species